GAUAAACGCUGGCGGCGUGCCUAAUGCAUGCAAGUCGAACGGGGUUCACUUCGGUGGACUUACGUGGCGGACGGGUGAGGAACACGUGGGCAACCUGCCCAACGGUGGGGGAUAACCUUUGGAAACAGAGGGUAAUACCGCAUGAGCUUCUUGAUCGAGUGGGAUUGAGAAGGAAAGCCUAUAUGGCGCCGAUGGAGGGGCCUGCGUCCGAUUAGCUAGACGGUGGGGUAACGGCCUACCGUGGCAGUGAUCGGUAGCUGGUUUGAGAGGAUGAUCAGCCACACGGGGACUGAGACACGGCCCCGACUCCUACGGGAGGCAGCAGCAAGGAAUUUUCCGCAAUGGGCGAAAGCCUGACGGAGCAACGCCGCGUGUGGGAUGACGCUUUUCGGAGUGUAAACCACUGUUCAUGGGGACGAAGCACUGACGGUACCCAUGGAGGAAGGCCCGGCUAACUACGUGCCAGCAGCCGC
rnacentral:rRNA from 1 species